rnacentral:misc_RNA from 1 species
GUUAAUGACACAUCUAUAAUUAUAAUUCUUCAGCUCCCUAAUCUCUGUCUUGAUCUAGAACACAUAAAACCAUUUGAUUAGACGACCUUAUGCAUUGCAAUCAAAGCAAUUCUGAAAACCAAUCAAAACCCGCUGAAAGAAAAAUAAAUAAAUACCAAACGCGCCCACAAACAAGCUAUCCAGAUAACGCUAGUCAUCCAAAUUGGGGAUAUGGGUACUAACCAAAACAGCCUUAUGGGCAGGGACAGAC